GGGCCCGCACAAGCGGUGGAGUAUGUGGUUUAAUUCGAUGCAACGCGAAGAACCUUACCAGGGUUUGACAUCCUGCGAAUCUCUUGGAAACGAGAGAGUGCCUUCGGGAGCGCAGUGACAGGUGGUGCAUGGCUGUCGUCAGCUCGUGUCGUGAGAUGUUGGGUUAAGUCCCGCAACGAGCGCAACCCACGUCUUUAGUUGCCAGCAUUUAGUUGGGCACUCUAGAGAAACUGCCAGCGUAAGCUGUGAGGAAGGUGGGGAUGACGUCAAAUCAUCACGGCCCUUACGUCCUGGGCUACACACGUACUACAAUGCUACGGACAAAGAGCAGCAAGUUCGCGAGGACAAGCAAAUCUCAUAAACCGUGGCUCAGUUCAGAUCGUAGGCUGCAACUCGCCUACGUGAAGGAGGAAUCGCUAGUAAUCGCAGGUC
rnacentral:rRNA from 1 species